AUUGAACGCUGGCGGCAGGCCUAACACAUGCAAGUCGAGCGGAUGAAGGGAGCUUGCUCCUGGAUUCAGCGGCGGACGGGUGAGUAAUGCCUAGGAAUCUGCCUGGUAGUGGGGGAUAACGUCCGAAAACGGGCGCUAAUACCGCAUACGUCCUGAGGGAGAAAGUGGGGGAUCUUCGGACCUCACGCUAUCAGAUGAGCAUAGGUCGGAUUAGCUAGUUGGGGGGGUAAAGGACUACCAAGGCGACGAUCCGUAACUGGUCUGAGAGGAUGAUCAGUCUGCUUGGCACUGAGGAACGGCCGCCACACUUGCGGGAGGACGCAGCGGGGACUCUUGGACGAUGGGGGAAAGGCUAAUCCAGCGCAGUCGGCGGUGGCCAGACGGUCUUCUGACGCUUAAAUACUGUAAGUUGUGAGGAAGGGAAGUACUUUCAUACCGUGCUGUUUUGACGUUACCAACAGAAUAAGCCCCGGCUAACUUCGUG
rnacentral:rRNA from 1 species